GACGGGGGGGGCAAGUGUUCUUCGGAAUGACUGGGCGUAAAGGGCACGUAGGCGGUGAAUCGGGUUGAAAGUGAAAGUCGCCAAAAAGUGGCGGAAUGCUCUCGAAACCAAUUCACUUGAGUGAGACAGAGGAGAGUGGAAUUCGUGUGUAGGGGUGAAAUCCGUAAAUAUACGAAGGAACGCCAAAAGCGAAGGCAGCUCUCUGGGUCCCUACUGACGCUGAGGAGCGAAAGCAUGGGUAGCGAACAGG
rnacentral:rRNA from 1 species